AACCUCCGCAAUGUGAGAAAUCGCGACGGGGGGGUCCCAAGUGCCAUUCUUAACGGGAUGGCUUUUCAUUAGUGUAAAAAGCUUUUGGAAUAAGAGCUGGGCAAGACCGGUGCCAGCCGCCGCGGUAACACCGGCAGCUCUAGUGGUAGCAAUUUUUAUUGGGCCUAAAGCGUCCGUAGCCGGUUUAAUAAGUCUCUGGUGAAAUCCUGUAGCUUAACUGUGGGAAUUGCUGGAGAUACUAUUAGACUUGAGACCGGGAGAGGUUAGAGGUACUCCCAGGGUAGAGGUGAAAUUCUGUAAUCCUGGGAGGACCGCCUGUUGCGAAGGCGUCUAACUGGAACGGUUCUGACGGUGAGGGACGAAAGUUAGGGGCGCGAACCGGAUUAGAUACCCGGGUAGUCCUAACUGUAAACGAUGCGGACUUGGUGUUGGGUGGCUUUGAGCUGCUUCAGUGCCGAAGGGAAGCUGUUAAGUCCGCCGCCUGGGAAGUACGGUCGCAAGACUGAAACUUAAAGGAAUU
rnacentral:rRNA from 1 species